UACGUAGGGGGCAAGCGUUGUCCGGAUUUACUGGGCGUAAAGCGCGCGUAGGCGGAAGGUGAAGCGUGGCCUGAAAGCCCCCGGCUCAACCGGGGAGGGCGGCUGCGAACUCGCCUUCUUGAGGGCGACAGAGGGGGGCGGAAUUCCUGGUGUAGCGGUGAAAUGCGCAGAUAUCAGGAGGAACACCAAUGGCGAAGGCAGCUCGCUGGAACGGUACUGACGCUGAGGCGCGAAAGCGUGGGGAGCAAACAGG
rnacentral:rRNA from 1 species